CCUACGGGGGGCUGCAGUGAGGAAUAUUGGUCAAUGGGCGCAAGCCUGAACCAGUCAAGUCGCGUGAGGGAUGACGGUCCUAUGGAUUGUAAACCUCUUUUGUCGGGGAGCAAGGCCCGCCACGUGUGGCGGGAAGGAGAGUACCCGAAGAAAAAGCAUCGGCUAACUCCGUGCCAGCAGCCGCGGUAAUACGGAGGAUGCGAGCGUUAUCCGGAUUUAUUGGGUUUAAAGGGUGCGUAGGCGGAAGGUUAAGUCAGCGGUAAAAGGUCGGUGCUCAACACCGGCCUGCCGUUGAAACUGGUCUGCUUGAGUGAGCGAGAGGUAUGCGGAAUGCGUGGUGUAGCGGUGAAAUGCAUAGAUAUCACGCAGAACUCCGAUGGCGAAGGCAGCAUACCGGCGCUCAACUGACGCUGAGGCACGAAAGCGUGGGGAUCGAACAGGAUUAGAUACCCGUGUAGUC
rnacentral:rRNA from 1 species